UACGAAGGGCUAGCGUUGCUCGGAAUCACUGGCGUAAAGGGUGCGUAGGCGGGUCUUUAAGUCAGGGUGAAUCCUGGAGCUCAACUCCAGAACUGCCUUGAUACUGAAGAUCUUGAGUUCGGAGAGGUGAGUGGAACUGCGAGUGUAGAGGUGAAAUUCGUAGAUAUUCGCAAGAACACCAGUGGCGAAGGCGGCUCACUGGCCGAUACUGACGCUGAGGCACGAAAGCGUGGGAGCAACAGG
rnacentral:rRNA from 1 species